UUAAAGAUACUUACGUCCAGUCUCAGGUCGAGCGUUGAAGCGAAAGAAAUUUCGUGGGCCGUCGCAACCAAAGAGGGCGUCCCGACGAGAACCGUGGGGAGGUGGAAUUCCUAUGA
ncrna:unclassified sequences pemK RNA